GUUGGUGGAGUGAUUUGUCUGGUUAAUUCCGUUAACGAACGAGACUUCGGCCUUUAAAUAGUGGUUUUUUUCUCACGAAAGAAAUAUUUUCACUUCUUAGAGGGACAUUUCGGGUUUUACCGGAAGGAGGUUCGAAGCAAUAACAGGU
rnacentral:rRNA from 1 species